rnacentral:rRNA from 1 species
AACGGAUCUUCGGGAUCCGUGGCGGUAGGGUGAGUAACACGUGGGAACGUGCCCUUUGGUUCGGAACAACUCAGUGAAAACUUGAGCUAAUACCGGAUGUGCCCUUCGGGGGAAAGAUUUAUCGCCAUUGGAGCGGCCCGCGUCUGAUUAGCUAGUUGGUGGGGUAAAGGCCCACCAAGGCGACGAUCAGUAGCUGGUCUGAGAGGAUGAUCAGCCACAUUGGGACUGAGACACGGCCCAAACUCCUACGGGAGGCAGCAGUGGGGAAUCUUGCGCAAUGGGCGAAAGCCUGACGCAGCCAUGCCGCGUGAAUGAUGAAGGUCUUAGGAUUGUAAAAUUCUUUCACCGGGGACGAUAAUGACGGUACCCGGAGAAGAAGCCCCGGCUAACUUCGUGCCAGCAGCCGCGGUAAUACGAAGGGGGCUAGCGUAGCUCGGAAUUACUGGGCGUAAAGGGAGCGUAGGCGGACUGUUAAGUUAGAGGUGAAAGCCCAGUGCUCAACCUUGGAAUUGCCUUUGAUACUGGCAGUCUUGAGUACGGAAGAGGUAUG